GACGAACGCUGGCGGCGUGCUUAACACAUGCAAGUCGAACGGAAAGGCCCUGCUCUUGUGGGGUGCUCGAGUGGCGAACGGGUGUGUAAAACGUGAGUAACCUGCACUUGACUUUGGGAUAACUUCAGGAAACUGGGGCUAAUAUAGGAUAGGAGCUACUGCUGCACGGUGGGGGUUGGUAAGUUUCGGCGGUAGGGGAUGGUAUGGAGGCUUAUCCGCUUGUUGGGGAGGUAGUGGCUGACCAAGGUUUUGAAGGGUAGCCGGCCUGAGAGGUUGGCCGGCCACAUUGGGACUGAGAUACGGCGCAGACUCCUACGGGAGGCAGCAGUGGGGAAUAUUGCACAAUGGGCGGGAGCCAGAUGCAGCAACGCCGCGUGCGUGAUGACGUCCUUCUGGUUAUAAACCGCUUUCGCCUGUGACGAAGCGUGAGUGACGGUAAUGGGUAAAGAAGCACCGGCUAACUACGUG
rnacentral:rRNA from 1 species